AACGAACGCUGGCGGCAUGCCUAAUACAUGCAAGUCGAACGACCGGAGCAAUCCGGGAGUGCGAACGGGUGAGUAACACGUGGGAACCUGCCCAGCGGUGGGGAACAACCGAGGGAAACUUCGGCUAAUACCGCAUACGCCCUUACGGGGAAAGAUUUAUCGCCGUUGGAGGGGCCCGCGUCCGAUUAGCUAGUUGGUGAGGUAACGGCUCACCAAGGCGACGAUCGGUAACUGGUCUGAGAGGACGACCAGUCACACUGGGACUGAGACACGGCCCAGACUCCUACGGGAGGCAGCAGUAGGGAAUAUUGGACAAUGGGGGAAACCCUGAUCCAGCAAUGCCGCGUGAGUGAUGAAGGCCUUAGGGUUGUAAAGCUCUUUCGCCCACGACGAUGAUGACGGUAGUGGGAGAAGAAGCCCCGGCUAACUUCGUGCCAGCCGCCGCGGUAA
rnacentral:rRNA from 1 species